rnacentral:rRNA from 1 species
CACGUAGGGCGCAAGCGUUGUCCGGAAUUAUUGGGCGUAAAGAGCUCGUAGGCGGUUUGUCGCGUCUGCUGUGAAAACUCGGGGCUUAACCCCGGGCCUGCAGUGGGUACGGGCAGACUAGAGUGCGGUAGGGGAGACUGGAAUUCCUGGUGUAGCGGUGAAAUGCGCAGAUAUCAGGAGGAACACCGAUGGCGAAGGCAGGUCUCUGGGCAUUAACUGACGCUGAGGAGCGAAAGCAUGGGGAGCGAACAGG